AGCGAACGCUAGCGGCGGGCCUCAAACAUGCAAGUCGCACGCGAAAGGGGGGCAACUCCCGAGUAGAGUGGCGCACGGGUGAGUAACACGUAACUAAUGUACCUUCUCGCUGGGGACAACUCCGUGAAAACGGAGCUAAUACCGAAUGAUCUUACAGGGACUGCGGUCCUCGUGGGUAAAGCCGAGAGGCGCGAGAAGAUCAGGUUGCGUUCCAUUAGCUAGUUGGUAGGGUAACGGCCUACCAAGGCUACGAUGGAUAGCUGGUCUGAGAGGACGACCAGCCACACUGGAACUGACACACGGUCCAGACUCCCACGGGAGGCAGCAGUUGGGAAUAUUGCGCAAUGGGCGAAAGCCUGACGCAGCCACGCCGCGUGAGUGAUGAAGGCCUUCGGGUGUAAGCUCUGUCGGGAGGGAAGACGGGAGGAAAUCCCAGACGGUACCUCGCCAAGAAAGCACCGGCGUAACU
rnacentral:rRNA from 1 species